rnacentral:rRNA from 1 species
GAUGAACGCUGGCGGCGUGCUUAACACAUGCAAGUCGAACGAAGAAGCCCAGCUUGUUGGGUGGAUUCGUGGCGAACGGGUGAGUAACACGCGAGUAACCCGCCCUCAACUCUGGGAUAAGACUGGGAAACAGGGUGUAAUACCGGAUAGGAGAGCUCAUGGCACGGUGGGUGUUGGAAAGAUUUACCGGUUUUGGAUGGACUCGCGGCCUAUCAGCUUGUUGGUGAGGUAUUGGCUCACCAAGGCGAUGACGGGUAGCCGGCCUGAGAGGGUGACCGGCCACACUGGGACUGAGACACGGCCCAGACUCCUACGGGAGGCAGCAGUGGGGAAUAUUGCACAAUGGGCGCAAGCCUGAUGCAGCGACGCCGCGUGAGGGAUGACGGCCUUCGGGUUGUAAACCUCUUUCGGUAGGGAAGAAGCGAGAGUGACGGUACCUGCAAAAGAAGCACCGGCUAACUACGUG